UGGGUAUAUCUGGAGAUGUUCCUGGAGUGCGUGGAAGACAGCUUCCUGACUCAGCUGCUUAGUGAGCCUAUCAGAGGGGGUGCCCCACUAGACCUGCUGUUCAUGAACAGAGAAGGACUGGUGGGAGAUGUGGUGGUAGUGAGUUGUCUUGGGCAAAGUGACCAUGACAUGGGAGACUUCUCUAUUCUUUUUGAAGUCAGGAGGGGUGUCAGUAAAACUGCUACCUUGGACUUCCGGAGGGCA